AGUGAACGCUGGCGGCGUGCCUAAUACAUGCAAGUCGAACGGAGUGGCGCACGGGUGGGUAAUGUAUAGCUAAUCUGCCCUACACUAGAGGCCAACAGUUGGGAACGACUGCUAAUACUCUAUAGUGUAGGAUGAGGCUAUAUUGUCUCAUCUAGUUGGUGGGGUAAUGGCUAACCAAGGCUAUGAUGCAGAACUGGUCUGAGAGGAUGAUCAGUCACACUGGAACUGAGACACGAUGCGGACUCCUACGGGAAGCAGCAGUAGGGAAAAUUGCUCAAUGGGGGAAACCCUGAAGCAGCAUCGGCGCGUGGAGGAUGACACUUUUCGGAGAGUAAACUCCUUAUGUUAGGGAAGCGGUACCUAACGAAUAAGCACCGGCUAACUCCGUGCCAGCAGCCGCGGUAAUUC
rnacentral:rRNA from 1 species